rfam:Triticum aestivum genome assembly, contig: Triticum_aestivum_CS42_TGACv1_scaffold_195578_3AL
GUAGUACUCCCUCCGUUCGGAAUUACUUGUCGCGGAAAUGGAUGUAUCUAGAGGUAUUUUAGUACUAGAUACAUCCAUUUUCGUGACAAGUAAUUCCGAACGGAGGGAGUACAUG